rnacentral:rRNA from 1 species
UACGGGGGGGGCAAGCGUUGUUCGGAAUUACUGGGCGUAAAGGGCCAGUAGGCGGCCAACUAAGUCCGACGUGAAAUCCCAAGGCUUAACCUUGGAACUGCGUCGGAUACUGGAUGGCUUGAAUUCGGGAGAGGGAUGCAGAAUUCCAGGUGUAGCGGUGAAAUGCGUAGAUAUCUGGAGGAACACCGGUGGCGAAGGCGGUUCUCUGGGCAUUACCUGACGCUGAGGAGCGAAAGUGUGGGGAGCGAACAGG